CGCUCGCUCUCUCUCUCUAAUGAAUCCCGGUGCUCGAGCCACAAGCUGAAUAACAGACAGCCGCUCCACCAAUCAGCAGCCUUCUCCGCGUCUGAGUGACGUAAUCACGCCACGCCAUCAACGUCUCUCCCUGGCGCGAGCAAUGAACUACUAUAUGCUGUGGAAGACUAAUUCUGUUCAGUUGAUACCAGUGACUGCAUGAAUGUAAAGAGUUUCUACAAAGCAUUGAGACAUACAAAGCAUGCGAGGGAAUCUGCAGCACUCUUCCUUCUGGGUACUAGAGGUCACAGAUUGGUCCAAACGAAAUAUGCCAGAUCCAUAGACAUUUUCAUCACAACAUUUGUUGGAGGGUUCCUAACCACACCAUUCCUGUCUGAAGGCACUGACCCCUUCUUGGAGAAUGCUAUGGCUGACAACUCUGCCAAGAGAAUAUUUAAAGGAGGUUCUGAUAGAUUUUGAUCAAGUGAAUGGAGUAAGACCACUGACCUCUGGAGAGUGAAAGAAAUGGGAAUUCUUUUCCCAACAUCCACAACAGUGGAGAAACUGUUCUAUCCCCAAGGCUGAAGGGGAUAUGUGUGUGUUCAGAUGAGGUGAUGAUCGUGACUUUCCUUGGACCAUCUGUUCAAAUAAAACUGCCCCCAAAAGACACUGUUGAGGAGAAAAUUACAUGCUUAUUUAACCUGCACUACAUGAUGGGGGAUAGAAGAAUUGUCAAAACUUUCUGAAAGUCUGGUCAUAAAAGUAAUUUAUGAAGUUGUGAGAAAAGCAAGCCACUUAAAGAGAAAACCAACAACCAAAAUAUAAAUCAAACGUGACUGAACAUGUUUAUGAGACUGAAGUAGACACAAUAAACAGACAGUGGAGCACAAAGGCUGGAGAGUCGAGUCUAUUAACCUUAACAGCGACCCGGUUUGCACUGCAAUUGCACCGAAUAUCAACUGAAAUGUCCUUGUCGAUGUUGUGGAGAACAAUUUAUCAGAUCUGAAGAAAGCAUUAUUUAUUAAUUGUUAUG